rnacentral:rRNA from 1 species
GACGAACGCUGGCGGCGUGCCUAAUACAUGCAAGUCGAGCGGACCAAAGGGAGCUUGCUCCUGGAGGUUAGCGGCGAACGGGUGAGUAACACGUGGGCAACCUGCCUGUAAGACUGGGAUAACAUCGAGAAAUCGGUGCUAAUACCGGAUAAUAAAAAGAACUGCAUGGUUCUUUUUGAAAGAUGGUUUCGGCUAUCACUUACAGAUGGCCGCGGCGCAUUAGCUAGUUGGUGAGGUAACGGCUCACCAAGGCGACGAUGCGUAGCCGACCUGAGAGGGUGAUCGGCCACACUGGGACUGAGACGCGGCCCAGACUCCUACGGGAGGCAGCAGUAGGGAAUCUUCCGCAAUGGACGAAAGUCUGACGGAGCAACGCCGCGUGAGUGAUGAAGGUUUUCGGAUCGUAAAACUCUGUUGUUAGGGAAGAACAAGUGCCGUUCGAAAGGGCGGCACCUUGACGGUACCUAACGAGAAAGCCACGGCUAACUACGUGCCAGCAGCCGCGGUAAAGUA